AUUGAACGCUGGCGGCAGGCCUAACACAUGCAAGUCGAGCGAGCGGCGGACGGGUGAGUAAUGGAUAGGGGCUGCCCGAUAGAGGGGGAUAACUGAUGGAGACGGUAGCUAAUACCGCGUCCUGUCGGGUAACGCCGAUGGGAUUAACUAGUAGGUAAGGUAAUGGCUUACCUAGGCGACGAUCCCUAGCUGGUCUGAGAGGAUGAUCAGCCACACUGGGACUGAGACACGGCCCAGACUCCUACGGAGGCAGCAGUGGGGAAUAUUGGACAAUGGGCGCAAGCCUGAUGCAGCCAUGCCGCGUGUAUGAAGAAGGCCCUAGGGUUGUAAAGUACUUUCAGUCGGGAGGCGUUACCGACAGAAGAAGCACCGGCUAACUCCGUGCCAGCCGCCGCGGUAAUUC
rnacentral:rRNA from 1 species